rnacentral:rRNA from 1 species
GAUCAUGGCUCAGGAUGAACGCUAGCGACAGGCUUAACACAUGCAAGUCGAACGGAGCACCCUUGAAUGAGGUUUCGGCCAAAGGAAAGGAAUGCUUAGUGGCGGACUGGUGAGUAACGCGUGAGGAACCUGCCUUUCAGAGGGGGACAACAGCUGGAAACGGCUGCUAAUACCGCAUGACGCAUUCGGAUGGCAUCAUCUGAAUGCCAAAGAUUUAUCGCUGAAAGA